CGGAAUUGUUGAACUUGAUGCAUCUGC
rnacentral:piRNA from 1 species